rnacentral:rRNA from 1 species
UACGGAGGGUGCAAGCGUUGCUCGGAAUCACUGGGCGUAAAGCGACCGCAGGCGGCCUGACAAGUCGGAUGUGGAAGCCCUGGGCUCAACUCAGGAACAGCAUUCGAAACUGGCAGGCUUGAGUACGGGAGAGGGGGGUGGAAUUCCUGGUGUAGGGGUGAAAUUCGUUGAUAUCAGGAGGAACACCGGCGGCGAAGGCGGCCCCCUGGCCCGCAACUGACGCUCAUGGUCGAAAGCGUGGGGAGCAAACAGG